rnacentral:rRNA from 1 species
GUGGAUUAGAUACCCUGGUAGUCCACGCCGUAAACGAUGAUAACUAGCUGUCCGGGCUCAUAGAGCUUGGGUGGCGCAGCUAACGCAUUAAGUUAUCCGCCUGGGGAGUACGGUCGCAAGAUUAAAACUCAAAGGAAUUGACGGGGGCCUGCACAAGCGGUGGAGCAUGUGGUUUAAUUCGAAGCAACGCGCAGAACCUUACCAGCCUUUGACAUCCUAGGACGACUUCUGGAGACAGAUUUCUUCCCUUCGGGGACCUAGUGACAGGUGCUGCACGGCUGUCGCCAACU